CAAAAAUUAGCUUUCUUUAAACCCUCUUGUUUCCCAUUGAUUAUUAUUGUUCAGUUCUUUAUUUAAAAUAUAAAUAAAUAAAGCGGGAUGAGAAUUGUCUUUGUAUGAAAACAGUGAGAGAGCCAGACCGUGAGAAUGAAAGCUAAACAAUCAUCGGAAAACAUCAUCCAAGUGAUAUGAACCAAUGAAUCAUAUCUUUCCAGAGAGUAGAAGAGAAGUUAUUUUGUGCAAAACGACGACAGAACAAUGAUGCAAGCAUAAUGAUGGGAAAGCAACUUGUUCCAUCAGGGUGGCCAGUGGAGGCGACAGACGAUGAAAGCCAAGACGGCAAGGCUGACAGAGGGAUGACAAGUUGGACAAUGGCAAAGACGGCAUGGGUGACAACAAUGACAAUGAAAAUAGAACUGAACAGUGUGUAUAAAGGACGUUAUGAACAUUUAUUUGUAGGGAUAACCGUUGAUUAGAUUUAAGUAAUUAAUGUAAUUCUGGUAGACACACUCUCAGAUAUGUAAAGCUCAUGGAACUCACACACUUUCAAAACAUUGUAAUGAUGAUAUUGUAAAUUAGAUUUAGAUUAGAAUUAAGUUAGGCUUAAGUAGAAACUUUUGUUAAUUGCUAUAUCCUUUGUCAACUAUUAUCUUAUUAUUAACGAC
rnacentral:lncRNA from 1 species